rnacentral:rRNA from 1 species
UACGGAGGGUGCAAGCGUUGUCCGGAAUCACUGGGCGUAAAGGGCGCGUAGGCGGUCGUGCGCGUCGGAGGUGAAAUCCCCGGGCUUAACCCGGGAGCUGCCUCCGAUACGGCAUGGCUUGAGUCCGGGAGAGGGGAGCAGAAUUCCCAAGUGUAGCGGUGAAAUGCGUAGAUAUUGGGAGGAAUACCAGUGGCGAAGGCGGCUCCCUGGACCGGUACUGACGCUGAGGCGCGAAAGCGUGGGGAGCAAACAGGG